GCAAUAUUAACAAUGAUUGAAGCAGAGAAUGCAUCCAGAUCAUGAUGUUGAGAACGCUGUGACAUGGUCAUUGGCAAAGGGUGAUUACGAGUCUGAAUUGUCAUGUUCUUGUUGCCACUUGCAAGCCUCAAAAUUGCAGAAUUCACCAAAUUGAUAUACGUCGGCGCUGAAUGCUGACAGGAACUGUUGUGGAGAACUGUGAAUCCAACACUACCAUCUUUAUGCUGGUCAUCCAUUACAACAGCACCAUACCUUGACUGGUACGUCUCAUUCAGGCUAGUAAUAAGAAAUUCACUCAUUGAUAGAAGAGCUGGG
rnacentral:misc_RNA from 1 species